AGAGUUUGAUCCUGGCUCAGAUUGAACGCUGGCGGCAGGCCUAACACAUGCAAGUCGAGCGGUAGCACAGAGAGCUUGCUCUCGGGUGACGAGCGGCGGACGGGUGAGUAAUGUCUGGGAAACUGCCUGAUGGAGGGGGAUAACUACUGGAAACGGUAGCUAAUACCGCAUAAUGUCGCAAGACCAAAGUGGGGGACCUUCGGGCCUCAUGCCAUCAGAUGUGCCCAGAUGGGAUUAGCUAGUAGGUGGGGUAACGGCUCACCUAGGCGACGAUCCCUAGCUGGUCUGAGAGGAUGACCAGCCACACUGGAACUGAGACACGGUCCAGACUCCUACGGGAGGCAGCAGUGGGGAAUAUUGCACAAUGGGCGCAAGCCUGAUGCAGCCAUGCCGCGUGUGUGAAGAAGGCCUUCGGGUUGUAAAGCACUUUCAGCGGGGAGGAAGGCGUUAAGGUUAAUAACCUUGGCGAUUGACGUUACCCGCAGAAGAAGCACCGGCUAACUCCGUGCCAGCAGCCGCGGUAAUACGGAGGGUGCAAGCGUUAAUCGGAAUUACUGGGCGUAAAGCGCACGCAGGCGGUCUGUCAAGUCGGAUGUGAAAUCCCCGGGCUCAACCUGGGAACUGCAUUCGAAACUGGCAGGCUAGAGUCUUGUAGAGGGGGGUAGAAUUCCAGGUGUAGCGGUGAAAUGCGUAGAGAUCUGGAGGAAUACCGGUGGCGAAGGCGGCCCCCUGGACAAAGACUGACGCUCAGGUGCGAAAGCGUGGGGAGCAAACAGGAUUAGAUACCCUGGUAGUCCACGCCGUAAACGAUGUCGAUUUGGAGGUUGUGCCCUUGAGGCGUGGCUUCCGGAGCUAACGCGUUAAAUCGACCGCCUGGGGAGUACGGCCGCAAGGUUAAAACUCAAAUGAAUUGACGGGGGCCCGCACAAGCGGUGGAGCAUGUGGUUUAAUUCGAUGCAACGCGAAGAACCUUACCUGGUCUUGACAUCCACAGAACUUAGCAGAGAUGCUUUGGUGCCUUCGGGAACUGUGAGACAGGUGCUGCAUGGCUGUCGUCAGCUCGUGUUGUGAAAUGUUGGGUUAAGUCCCGCAACGAGCGCAACCCUUAUCCUUUGUUGCCAGCGGUCCGGCCGGGAACUCAAAGGAGACUGCCAGUGAUAAACUGGAGGAAGGUGGGGAUGACGUCAAGUCAUCAUGGCCCUUACGACCAGGGCUACACACGUGCUACAAUGGCAUAUACAAAGAGAAGCGACCUCGCGAGAGCAAGCGGACCUCAUAAAGUAUGUCGUAGUCCGGAUUGGAGUCUGCAACUCGACUCCAUGAAGUCGGAAUCGCUAGUAAUCGUAGAUCAGAAUGCUACGGUGAAUACGUUCCCGGGCCUUGUACACACCGCCCGUCACACCAUGGGAGUGGGUUGCAAAAGAAGUAGGUAGCUUAACCUUCGGGAGGGCGCUUACCACUUUGUGAUUCAUGACUGGGGUGAAGUCGUAACAAGGUAGCCG
rnacentral:rRNA from 1 species